rnacentral:rRNA from 1 species
UACGGAGGGUGCAAGCGUUGUCCGGAUUUAUUGGGUUAAAGGGUGCGUAGGCGCCCGGUAAGUCAGUGGUGAAAGCCUCCAGCUCAACUGGAGAACUGCCAUUGAUACUGCCGGGCUUGAGUACAGACGAGGUUGGCGGAAUUGAUUGUGUAGCGGUGAAAUGCAUAGAUACAAUCAAGAACUCCGAUUGCGUAGGCAGCUAACUAGGCUGUAACUGACGCUGAGGCACGAAAGCGUGGGGAGCGAACAGG